AUCCGGGCAGUGACUUUCCUUCUUCGUGUGGCCCGUACCAGGCACUGUGCCUGGAACAGAGUAAGUGUUCCAAGAAUGCUUGCUGGCUGGAUACCAGGAAUCCUCUCCUUUUCCCACAUUUGGUUAUAACUGUCUAAUUUGGGGGUGCUGAAUACUCAGUAAAUAGCACCCCCUUCUCUUUGCAGAAAUGGUGAGGGUUCCACGGGAUUCUCUGACAGGCUCAGGAGUAAGUGGCCUGGUGACCUGUGGAGGGCCUCUCCCAGCACUGGGACUGUGCCCCGGCUGACCCGCUCCCCUGCCUCCACUUUUCCCACUGGGUUUUAGAGGCCCUUUGGGUGUCAGAUUUGCAUGCAAACCCGGGUUCGUGGAAGCAAGUGGGGGCGUUUUGGGUUGUCACAGUUGCUAGGGAAAGGGCUGACCUACCGAGCUCGGCCGGGCAGGAGCCAGAGGUCCUGCAUAUCUUGCAACAUCUCCGACGGUGCCACGCAAUGAAAGUUACCCUGGACACGAUGCCAGUGUGCCCGCUGUUGAAACAGCCCAGAGUCCGUAGGGUUCACACCCAGAAAAGCUGGCUCUGGGACGACUGGCGGGCACGGUUUAGAGAAGCGUCUGGCCCUGACGUGCCAGCCAGCGUUGGUGCCAGGAGCAGCGAGUCCUGACAGAUCCGAGCUCCUCGGAUCCUUGGACGGAAUGUGCUGAGGGCUCGAAUUACCGUGAAGAGAGCAAGCCACACGCCUUUUGGGUAAAUCCGCUGCAGUCACCCCUGGGCUCGCCUUUCUAAUCACCGCCUGAACACAAGGAGCAGACCGCGCCCCAUUGACACAGGCCCUGGGCUUCCUGGGGAUGGUCCCCUGGGAAGGAGGGAGUCACGUUCUGAGUUACUGCCUGUCCAGGUUUGGGCUUUGAGGGCAGAGGGGCUGGCUCCUCCCCGAGUGUCCCCAGCGCAGACAGGGCUCCCCCACCCUUGCAUCAAGCCAAAGCCUUGGCCUGUCCGGGACUCCUCGUUUAGCCUCUAUUCAAUUCAUCCAAAAGUCUGAGGACCGACUGCCCCGGUUUGCCUGAAACCAAGGGGGUUCCCGGGAUGUAGACUUUCAGCGGUGACCCCAAGAUAUCCCGGCCAGAGCAGGACAAGCUGGUCACCCUCUCCUGCGCAAAAGCCGCUGAGCUGGAGAGGGGCCGGAGGCAGAGAUGAUAGCCAGAGUAAAGAAUUUCACUCUAGACAGGAUGGGGAGACACCGCGGGGAUUUACGUAGGGUCCAAAUCUGACCUGGUGUGAUGCAUUUUCCUAAGCAACCCCUGGUGGCAGCGUGGUGAACCAGAGUGGAAAGCCGGAGACCGGUGAGGGAGCUGGUGCUCAUCCGGGUGAGCAAGCCUGGUGGCUCGGACCAGAGCGGUUACAGUGGACGUUGUGGUGUGCCACCCGCCUCCCCUCCAGGAGCCCGGAGCUCGUUCCCCUGGUGGCCGGGAGUGCUGGCUGUGGACAGCUCGCUCCCCUAUACGUCCCAUGACUGGUUGACUUGGGUGUUCAGACCCUGCUCCCUGCCCUCAGCUGAGAACAGCAUCGCAGGGCCGCCCCGCCCCAGGGAUCCAGUGGGGUCUGCUUCAUCCCUCUCUGCCUCCUUUGCUUCUUUGCCAGUGCUAUUCUGGAGACUUCUCCGGCAACUCGUCUCCUGGCUACCCCCCAUCUCAACCUCCAGCUCCUGGUAAACCUGACCUGGGACAGUGGUACAGUGAAUGUGGGAAGAAAGAGUUGUGCGCGUGCGCUCCUGUAAGAGCGUGCAUGUAUGUAUACACACAUUUUAUAAGGUAAAAUUUGUAUACGGUAAACGCACAAAAUCUUAAAUAUACGGGGUGCUGAAUGUUGAAAUACGUAUUUAUCUUCAUAACCCCCACUCAGAUCAAAACAUGUAUUUCUGGGGCUCUGGGGAGGCUCAGUCAGUUGAGUGUCUGACUUCAGCUCAGGUCGUGAGCUCAGGGUUUGUGAAUUUGAGCCCCGCGUCAGGAUCUCUGCUGUCAGCACGGAGCCUGCUUUGGAUCCUCUGCCCGCCCCCUUUGCUCUUCCCCCACUCUUGCUCCCUCUCUCAAAAAUGAAUGUUUAAACGACAACAAAAACAUAUACAGUAAAACCAUGGUUUACGAGCAUAAUUCAUUCUGGAAACGUGCUUGUAAUCCAAAGCACUUGUAUAUCAAAGUGAAUUUCAAGAACCAUUGGCUCAGUUGUGAUCAUGUGACAUUUGUCAUCACGUAUCAGUCAUAUUGCAAGACCACUUGUUCGUCAAGUUAAAACUUAUUAGAAAUGGUUUGCUCAUCUUGUGGAACACGCACAGAACAAGUUACUCAUUAUCCAAGGUUUAACUGUAUUUCCUUCACUCCUAGAAAUUUCCUUGUGACCUUUUCCAGUUCAUAAUAUCCCUCCAGGUAGCUACCGUCUGACUUCUACAAUAAUCUGAUCAAAGAUGAGUUUUUGUUUGCCCUUGAACUUCAUAUAAAUGGAACCGUGAGUAGGCACAUUUUGCCGAACAUCACACUUUUGAGAUUUUUCUUAAUGUUUCUGGGUUUAUCAGAUCUUUUUUAUUUCUGAGGAAUGUAUGCUUCUUGUAAACAGUUUGUAGUUGGGUUUAUUUUUUGUUGUUUUAUUUAUUUUAAUCUUCCUUGACCAUCUCUAUCAUAUAAGUGAGGUAUUUAGUUGUCUCAUCUUUGUUCUGUCCGGCCUCCUUGUCUGCCUUCCUUUGAUUAAUCAAGUGUCUUUAUUACUCCGUUGUGUUUCCUGUAUAGUCUUCACACCUAACCCUUUCAGUUAAUAUUUUUGAGGUUGCUCCAGAAACUGUAGGUAUACAUUCUUAAUUUAUUGCAAUUACUUUUAACUUGGUUCCAUAGUCAUUCAUGCAGCAAAUAAAAGCUUUACAGCAGUAUAAUUCCA
rnacentral:lncRNA from 1 species